rnacentral:siRNA from 1 species
AAGUCGACGGGCUCAAUGCACAC